UGCCGGUGCAAGCCGGAGGAAGGUGGGGAUGACGUCAAAUCAUCAUGCCCCUUAUGACCUGGGCUACACACGUGCUACAAUGGAUGGUACAAAGGGUCGCGAAGCCGCGAGGUGGAGCCAAUCCCAUAAAACCAUUCUCAGUUCGGAUUGUAGGCUGCAACUCGCCUACAUGAAGCCGGAAUCGCUAGUAAUCGUGGAUCAGCAUGCCACGGUGAAUACGUUCCCGGGCCUUGUACACACCGCCCGUCACACCACGAGAGUUUGUAACACCCGAAGUCGGUAGGGUAACCUUUAUGGAGCCAGCCGCCGAAGGUGGGACAGAUAAUUGGGGUGAAGUCGUAACAAGGUAGCCGUAUCGGAAGGUGCGGCUGGAUCACCUCCUUU
rnacentral:rRNA from 1 species